GCAUGAACUACCAUGCCUGGCCCCUAAAGAUGAGAUUUGCAGGGGACAAACCUCCAAACCCAUAUCACCCUAUGCUCCAGUUAUGACUGUAUCCUCUCCCCCAGUCCCUGCAGGCCAAAGAGAUGGAGAAAGGCUUAGGGAGAGAGAAGGACCAAACACCCCUGCUCUCUUCCCACAAGAAGCCAGGCCUGCAGCACCCCAGCUAGGUUAAGUCAAGAUUAGAUUUAAUGUUAGAUGAGGUUUGGCGUUCUGAUUCUUACAUGGAAGUUGCCUUCUGAGGACCAGCUGGGGACAAUGUGUGACCCAAAACUGACCAUAGGAAAAUCAAGGACAUGCCAAUUUCAUGGUUACUUGCACUAUAUGGAUGCAUGGAACUGUGGAACAGAGCCCAGAGGUGGUCCAGAGCCUUGAGCUUGACAACUGGCUCUGGCACUUCCUCAAUGCAUGAGGCUGGGUGGGCACCUGCAUCUUCAUCUAUUGAAUGGGGAUAAUGGCCCCCUCUCACAAUGUAUGUGUCAGAGUCACUGAGUGAGCACAUGAGAAGUACUCAUGAUGGUGCUUGGCAGAGAGUAUAUGCUCAAUGCAGGUCAGCUGCUAUUAUUGUUAUGAAACUCUUUGAGCUGUUGUUUCCCUCCCGUGGAACAGCUGAGGUGCUGGCUUUAAAACCUGUCCACAAAGUCUUUGAUGCUGCUCCCAUUCAGUGGUAGGGUCUAUGUCCCCUCUCCUUGGACCUGCAGGCCUUCAUGACUGCCCUGACCAGCAGAGUAUGGCAGCACUAAGGCUGUGUGACUUCUGAGGCUGGCUCAUAAGGGCUCUGUGAUGCAGGUUCUACCCUGCUCUCCUUGGCCAUUUGCUCUGGGUGAAAGCCAGCUGCCCUGUAGGAGGCUACUGAUACUGAGGCUGCCAUGCUGUGAGGAGGUCCAGGCCACAGGGGGAGGCCACAGGUGGGUGUUCCGAGCCUCCUUCUGAGCUGCCCCAGACUCCUCUGGCAGCAGGCACUGAGCAUGUUCUGGGGUGGCUCAUGAGGUGACAGCAGUACUGGGAUGCUGGUGAGUGCCUCAGUGGGAGCUCCUUCUGUCCCCCUACCAACUCUUCGAUGUCAGGAUAGCACCAGAGCCUACCUGGGAGGCCACGAGCUAACACUCUUGAGAGGCAACACAGUAGGAAGACACACAGGUGUGUCAGAGAGCAGUCCUCAUAGUGAGAGUGCAGAAACCAGAGGCCAAGGCCGAAGAUUUUCCUGGACUUGCAGGCUGCCCAGGAAUCUUCCAAGAAAACCUGUCAGUUGGUAAAGCCACGUGGAGGCGGGACUAACAAAAUCUGGAAAUGUCUUCACCAGUUCCAAGGUACACACAAACAUUACUUGCCCUCUCUGGGGGUCAACGUUCUUUAUGAUUUUUUUCUCUCCAGGAAAAUAUUAGUUCAUUUAUAGAAACUAAACAUUACAUGUGGAGGGAAAAAUCAAAAACGUGGCAUUCCUUGACUUUUUUUCUCCACAGACACAGAAACUGAGAAGGUUUCUCCAUUUCCUUUCUCACAGACUAUUUGUUGGUGUGGAACUGCCCGCACAGUCAUUCCACAGGGGUGGAAAGUGGGGGGCAGUUCUCUGUGGGUCAGGGGUCACCACAGAGACCAAAGGCAGCCUCAGCCCACAGACCACUUCAGACGUGAAUCAAGGCCUCAGAGGGCCUGGAGACCUGGGCCGCUGUCAAUGGGAGGGCAGGUGGGCUGGGCAGAGGCACAGGCACUGCCUGGAAGAGGACCCGGCCACGCUGGUCUCGGAUCCACUGCCUCCUUUCGGCUCCUCAGUGUGCCAGUCCUUGCCCCUUGCAGCUUUUGCUGCCUGUUUCCCCCACUCAAAUGUGAGCUCUGGGGGGCAUGUUCUUGCCUUCUGUCACUGGGCACCUGGCUCGUAGCAAGCCCUUGGCCUGUAAGUCUUGGGUAAAUGAAUGAAUGAGCAUGUCUUAGGGCCUCUCCUUGGCAGGUAUGGGGGGUGUGCCUACUGGAAAGAGUACUGAGCUGGAGUCUAAAUCCCCUCCUGAGGAGCCAGGGGAGCCUGCGUUCCUCCCAUUCCUGGGACUGCAAGAGGCACAUUCCUGUCCCUGAGUCUGGUUGGGCUCCUGCCACGCAGCUCAGUCUGACUGCCAGGUCCAGAAAGGCAUUCCUGCAGCUGCCCCUCUGGCCCCACCCUCCCCUGGACCCCGGCCUGCACCACAGGUACAGCAGCAUCUGCUCUGUCUUCUGAGGCUGCUAGUGGGAAGCUGGGACCACUGAGUGUGUCUGAAGCCUUCCAGGCACUCCUAGACACUCUGGUGAUCAAUGAAAACCUUUACAUCCUGCUUCCAGGGCUGAAGCCAGGGAUUUGGAAAAUUGGUUGAAAACACUCCUAUGAGCUGGGGCUUGCUCUGCUGUGGAAAACUGCCAGCAUCAGCACCCCUUGACUUCUCCCAAGGCUGUGCCGAGUCAGCAGUUGGCCCACUCUGGAGCUGCCUCCGAGGACCAGGUGCCUAUAGGGCCCUGUGAGCAACUUGGAGGCUGUGGCUGAUGGUGUGAGGACAGGCGACCCCGAGAUUUCUGUGCUGCGCUCAGGGCGCUUUCAGUCUGGUGGGGAAGACAGACACAGACAAAUAAGCACACAGCUAACUGUGCCAUUACUGCAGAGGGAACUGCCACAGAGGGGCAUGAGGGCCAGCUGUGGGAAGGAGCCGGGGUCAGUGUGUGCCUAUAAAAAUCAGAUAGUAAAUAAUUCAGGCUCUGCAAGCCACAGGGUCUUUGUUUCAACCACUCAACUCUGCCACUGCUGUGUGACAGCAGCCACAGGCAAUAUGUCAACCAAACGGGAUGGCUAUGCCCAUAUGAAAACAGGGGGCAUAUUUGUCCCACAGUUUGCCAGGGCCUGCUUUACAGGGCCUGACCUGAUCAGGGGUGGGGGUGAUAGUAGAAAGAAGGCUUCCCCGAGGCAGUGAUGUUUAGCUAAAAGAUGCAGGCUGAUUCAGUGACGGAGGCAGAAUCACAAUGUCGACAAUUAUGAUAAUCACAUCACUAUGAUAAAGUUCCACUAACAUGUGUGUUCUGUGUUGGGCACUGUGCUAACAACACAGCUCUAUGAAGGAGGGAGAUUUUAUGUCCACUUUACAGAUGGAGACACUGAGGCUUCUGAGUAUCCUGGAUGGUCUGUUUGCACAAUUCAGUUGCAUUCUUCGCCCUGCCCACUUGCCACUUCUGAUGGGGGAAGGCUGCCCCUUGAGAUGUAUCUCCUGGACCCCUUACCCCCAGCUUCCUAUUGGGUUUGGCCAAUGAAAGGCUCUGGCAGCAGCCUGGGGAUUAGGGGAGAGAGAGGUCAGGGAUUUCUCUCUGCUCCCUCCCUGCUUCCCCCUCCUUGCCCACAGACCCUGCACAGCCAACCAUCCUCCAGAACUCAGCCAUCCCUGGGGUUGUUAACACUUCUUCCCCAUGCCCUUCAGCCUAGGACCCCAUCCUCCCCAGGAUGCUGGGCUGCCCCAUGGGUCCUUUGUCAUGCUUAUUGGUUCUGUUCAUUAAAGUUUCUUCAUGUGAA